AGUGAACGCUGGCGGUAGGCCUAACACAUGCCAGUCGAACGGCAGCACAGUAAGAGCUUGCUCUUACGGGUGGCGAGUGGCGGACGGGUGAGGAAUACAUCGGAAUCUACUUUUUCGUGGGGGAUAACGUAGGGAAACUUACGCUAAUACCGCAUACGACCUACGGGUGAAAGCAGGGGAUCUUCGGACCUUGCGCGAUUGAAUGAGCCGAUGUCGGAUUAGCUAGUUGGCGGGGUAAAGGCCCACCAAGGCGACGAUCCGUAGCUGGUCUGAGAGGAUGAUCAGCCACACUGGAACUGAGACACGGUCCAGACUCCUACGGGAGGUAGCAGUGGGGAAUAUUGGACAAUGGGCGCAAGCCUGAUCCAGCCAUACCGCGUGGGUGAAGAAGGCCUUCGGGUUGUAAAGCCCUUUUGUUGGGAAAGAAAAGCAGCAGGUUAAUACCCCGCUGUUCUGACGGUACCCAAAGAAUAAGCACCGGCUAACUUCGUG
rnacentral:rRNA from 1 species